rnacentral:lncRNA from 1 species
AGAAUUGGAAGACCACACCUAUGCGCCUUCUUGAAAACUACGGCCCUCAAAGGACUCUCCUUUUUCCUUAACACCUUAACAAGAUUCGCGAUCGAUUUUGCUAUCACUCAUGACCUCUUUGUUCUCCAGAGUCGUCAGCUUAUGGAGUCUUUCGGCGAGAGUGCGUUCCGUCUCCGCAUUGUCUCCGCCUGAUCCAAACAAUCC